rnacentral:tRNA from 1 species
AGAGGAGUGGCAGAGUGGUCGAAUGCACUGGUCUUGAAAACCAGCGUGCCGCAAGGUACCGGGGGUUCGAAUCCCUCCUCCUCUG